rnacentral:rRNA from 1 species
UACGUAGGGGGCAAGCGUUAUCCGGAUUUACUGGGUGUAAAGGGAGCGUAGACGGUUAUGCAAGUCUGGAGUGAAAGGCGGGGGCUCAACCCCCGGACUGCUCUGGAAACUGUAGAACUAGAGUGCAGGAGGGGUAAGUGGAAUUCCUAGUGUAGCGGUGAAAUGCGUAGAUAUUAGGAGGAACACCGGUGGCGAAGGCGGCUUACUGGACGACCACUGACGCUGAGGCUCGAAAGCGUGGGGAGCAAACAGG